rnacentral:rRNA from 1 species
AUUGAACGCUGGCGGCAUGCCUUACACAUGCAAGUCGAACGGUAACAGGUCUUCGGAUGCUGACGAGUGGCGAACGGGUGAGUAAUGCAUCGGAACGUGCCCAGUAGUGGGGGAUAGCCCGGCGAAAGCCGGAUUAAUACCGCAUACGACCUGAGGGUGAAAGGGGGGGAUCGCAAGACCUCUCGCUAUUGGAGCGGCCGAUGUCAGAUUAGCUAGUUGGUGGGGUAAAGGCCUACCAAGGCAACGAUCUGUAGUUGGUCUGAGAGGACGACCAGCCACACUGGGACUGAGAAACGGCACAGACUCCUACGGGAGGCAGCAGUGGGGAAUUUUGGACAAUGGGCGCAAGCCUGAUCCAGCAAUGCCGCGUGCAGGAAGAAGGCCUUCGGGUUGUAAACUGCUUUUGUCAGGGAAGAAAUCUUCUGGGUUAAUACCUCGGGAGGAUGACGGUACCUGAAGAAUAAGCACCGGCUAACUACGUGCCAGCCGCCGCGGUAAGAC